rnacentral:rRNA from 1 species
UACGUAGGGUGCAAGCGUUAUCCGGAAUUAUUGGGCGUAAAGAGCUCGUAGGCGGUUUGUCGCGUCUGCUGUGAAAACUGGAGGCUCAACCUCCAGCCUGCAGUGGGUACGGGCAAACUAGAGUGCGGUAGGGGAGAUUGGAAUUCCUGGUGUAGCGGUGGAAUGCGCAGAUAUCAGGAGGAACACCGAUGGCGAAGGCAGAUCUCUGGGCCGUAACUGACGCUGAGGAGCGAAAGUAUGGGGAGCGAACAGG